rfam:Alphaproteobacteria bacterium 33-17 scnpilot_expt_750_p_scaffold_1389, whole genome shotgun sequence.
AAUUAAGUAUAAAAAGAGCAUUCGAUGGAUGCCUAGGCUCUAGAAGGCGAUGAAAGACGUGAUAGGCUGCGAUAAGCUUCGGGGAGGUGCCAAUACCCUUUGAUCCGAAGAUUUCUGAAUGGGGGAACCCACUGCAUUAGCAGUAUUGCUUAGUGAAUACAUAGCUAAGUGAGGCAAACCCGGGGAACUGAAAUAUCUAAGUACCCGGAGGAAAGGACAUCAAUUGAGACUCCGCUAGUAGUGACGAGCGAACGCGGACCAGGCCAGUGGCUUAUAGGUAAUAAUUAGAACAACCUGGAAAGGUUGGCCAGAGACGGUGAUAGCCCGGUAUAAGUAAAAAGCUUAUAAGUCCUUGAGUAAGGCGGGACACGUGAAAUCCUGUUUGAAGAUGGGGGGACCACCCUCCAAGCCUAAGUACUCUCUAGAGACCGAUAGUGAACUAGUACCGUGAGGGAAAGGUGAAAAGUACCCCGAGAGGGGAGUGAAAUAGUUACUGAAAUCGAAUGCUUACAAGCAGUCGGAGCGAGGUAUGAUGAUUCGUCAUCAUAAGCUUGUGACGGCGUACCUCUUGUAUAAUGGGUCAGCGAGUUAGUAUAACGAGCGAGCUUAAGCCGAUAGGUGUAGGCGUAGCGAAAGCGAGUCUGAAUAGGGCGUAUAGUUCGUUGUAUUAGACCCGAAACCGAGUGAUCUAGCCAUGGUCAGGUUGAAGGCGUAGUAACAUACGCUGGAGGACCGAACCCAUUAAUGUUGAAAAAUUAUGGGAUGAACUGUGGCUAGGGGUGAAAGGCCAAUCAAACUCGGAAAUAGCUGGUUCUCCGCGAAAUCUAUUUAGGUAGAGCGUUAUAGUAUUACCAUCGAGGGUAGAGCACUGGAUGGGCUAGGGGGAUCCAAAGUCUUACCAAACCCAACUAAACUCCGAAUAACGAUGAGUACAGCAUAACAGACAGACUACGGGUGCUAAGAUCCGUAGUCGAGAGGGAAACAGCCCAGACCGCCGUCUAAGGUCCCCAAGUCAUGGCUAAGUGUGAAAGGAUGUGAGAAGACCAAAACAACUAGGAGGUUGGCUUAGAAGCAGCCAUCCUUUAAAGAAAGCGUAACAGCUCACUAGUCUAAAUAAGUCUUUUUGCGCCUAAAAUGUAACGGGGCUAAAGCCAUGCACCGAAGACGCGGGUGCUUAUCAUAUGAUAGGCGCGGUAGCGGAGCGUUCCGUAGGUCGUAGAAGGUGAACCGUGAGGUUUGCUGGAGAUAUCGGAAGUGAGAAUGCUGACAUGAGUAGCGAUAAAAGAUGUGAAAAUCAUCUUCGCCGAAAGUCCAAGGGUUCCUGCGUAAAGCUAAUCUGCGCAGGGUUAGUCGGCCCCUAAGGCGAGGCCGAAAGGCGUAGUCGAUGGGAAUCAGGUUAAUAUUCCUGAACUUGUGGGUAGUGACGGAUGAUGUAAAUUGUGAGCGGUAAUUGGAUUCUGUCUUGCAGUGAAAUUGUCCCAGGAAAUAGCUCCCACGUAUAAACCGUACCCGAAACCGACACAGGUGGACAGGUAGAGUAUACCAAGGCGCUUGAGAGAACGAUGCUGAAGGAACUAGGCAAAUUGCACCUGUAACUUAGGGAGAAGGGUGACCUUCUUAUGGGCAACCAUAGGAGGGUGGCACAAAGCAGGGGGUUGCGACUGUUUAAUAAAAACACAGGGCUAUGCAAACUCCAAAGAGGAGGUAUAUGGUCUGACGCCUGCCCAGUGCUGGAAGGUUAAGAGGAGGUGUGCAAGCACUGAAUUGAAGCCCCAGUGAACGGCGGCCGUAACUAUGACGGUCCUAAGGUAGCGAAAUUCCUUGUCGGGUAAGUUCCGACCCGCACGAAUGGCGUAACGACAUCCCCACUGUCUCCAGUAUCGACUCAGCGAAAUUGAAUUCUCCGUGAAGAUGCGGAGUUCCCGCGGCUAGACGGAAAGACCCCGUGCACCUUUACUACAGCUUUACAUUGGCAUUAGAAACUUGAUGUGUAGGAUAGGUGGGAGGCUAUGAAGCGAGGGCGCUAGCUCUCGUGGAGCCAACCUUGAAAUACCACCCUUUAAGUUUUUGAUGUCUAACCUAGUACCAUGAAUCUGGUACAGGGACCGUGUAUGGCGGGUAGUUUGACUGGGGCGGUCGCCUCCCAAAGAGUAACGGAGGCGCGCGAUGGUAGGCUCAAGCUGGUCGGAAAUCAGCUUGUAGAGUGUAAUGGCAUAAGCCUGCCUGACUGUGAGACUGACAAGUCGAACAGGUACGAAAGUAGGUCAUAGUGAUCCGGUGGUUUCCAUGUGGAAGGGCCAUCGCUCAACGGAUAAAAGGUACGCCGGGGAUAACAGGCUGAUGAUUCCCAAGAGUCCAUAUCGACGGAAUCGUUUGGCACCUCGAUGUCGGCUCAUCACAUCCUGGGGCUGAAGAAGGUCCCAAGGGUUCGGCUGUUCGCCGAUUAAAGUGGUACGUGAGCUGGGUUUAGAACGUCGCGAGACAGUUCGGUUCCUAUCUACCGUGGGUGUAAGAAGUUUGAGAGGAUCUGCCUUUAGUACGAAAGGACCGAGGUGGACGUACCUCUAGUGGUCCAGUUGUCGCGCCAGCGGCACGGCUGGGUAGCUAACGUACGGAAGGGAUAAACGCUGAAAGCAUCUAAGCGUGAAACCCACCUCAAGACUAGACUUCUCCAUUAGGGCCGUGAAAGACCAUCACGUUGAUAGGCCAGGUGUGUAAGCAUGGUAACAUGUUUAGCUUACUGGUACUAAUAGCCCGAUUGACUUAAUUUG